CGCGCGUCCGUGGUUGAAAGUCGAUGCCAGUCGCAGGCGAAACGAUCCACGUAAGCCGGGAAAAUCCCGGUGAGCAUGGUGCGGCUUAGAGGUAAGUCCUGCCGGUAUGACCUUUCCGGCAUAUCGAGAGGGGUAGUAGUGGGGAGGCAUGAGGCCUUAGGAGCGAACCCUCCGGCAGGCGAGUGUGGGGUCAAAGACCAGGUCGGGCGCG
rnacentral:ncRNA from 1 species